rnacentral:rRNA from 1 species
AUGACGCAGACCCGUAGAAAAUGGGACGCCACGGCCGAUUCUUCCCACAACGCCGAUCUCCAAGUUGGAGGUGAGGACACCCUGGCCGAAAUGUCGCCCAAGGAGGAGAAGGGAGUUGACGUUGUCGGUGAAUGGUGGGAGCUGGUCGCCGGUGCCGGAGAAGGUCGGGGUUCAGAGGCACGACGAGGCGACCGACGCAUGCCAAGCGGAGGAGGUGGCUAA